rnacentral:sRNA from 1 species
UCAGUGGUUCUUCUGCUGACUAGAGGCUC